AUUGAACGCUGGCGGCAGGCCUAACACAUGCAAGUCGAGCGGAUGAAGGGAGCUUGCUCCUGGAUUCAGCGGCGGACGGGUGAGUAAUGCCUAGGAAUCUGCCUGGUAGUGGGGGAUAACGUCCGGAAACGGGCGCUAAUAUCGCAUACGUCCUGAGGGAGAAAGUGGGGGAUCUUCGGACCUCACGCUAUCAGAUGAGCCUAGGUCGGAUUAGCUAGUUGGUGGGGUAAAGGCCUACCAAGGCGACGAUCCGUAACUGGUCUGAGAGGAUGAUCAGUCACACUGGAACUGAGACACGGUCCAGACUCCUACGGGAGGCAGCAGUGGGGAAUAUUGGACAAAGGGCGAAAGCCUGAUCCAGCCAUGCCGCGUGUGUGAAGAAGGUCUUCGGAUUGUAAAGCACUUUAAGUUGGGAGGAAGGGCAGUAAGUUAAUACCUUGCUGUUUUGACGUUACCAACAGAAUAAGCACCGGCUAACUUCGUG
rnacentral:rRNA from 1 species